rnacentral:rRNA from 1 species
AUACAGAGAGUGCAAACGUUGUUCGGAAUUACUGGGCUUAAAGCGCACGUAGGCGGCAUUGUAAGUGUCGGGUGAAAUCCCACGGCUCACCCGUGGAACUGCCCGGCAAACUGCAGUGCUAGAGUAUGGUAGGGGAGAGCGGAACUCAUGGUGGAGCGGUGAAAUGCGUAGAUAUCAUGAGGAACACCGGUGGCGAAGGCGGCUCUCUGGUCCAUCACUGACGCUGAGGUGCGAAAGCUAGGGUAGCGAACGGGAUUAGAAACCCCGGUAGUCC